ACGAAUGAACCAUGAAUACACUCCUUAAAGAAAAACCCAACCGUCUACUUGGGUCGAUCACCGCCACUAAUCCAAGCCAACAUCUCCAUCGCUCUAAAACCUUGUCACCAUAAAGCAUAUACUAUAUUUUCCUAGAUAGCCUCUUCUUCUUUCAUGACCAUGUUCUUGUCAAAACUAAUGGAAAUGAUCUUUUAAGAUCCAUUGAGACUGUUGCCUUCAUAUAAUACUAAGCCCAAAAAGAAUCGGACCUCGGAGCUCAGUGAGAACGAUAGAAUAAAGGCUAACAGGAAGGUUAUAAGACUGUAAAUCGAGGUACUGCUGGGGAUGAUGGAGACGAGUAGUAGCGAGGAUUUUACUUUCAGUUAUCACUUAAUAGUAGUUAUAGUUUUAAGUUGUUUAAUUUGAAUAGUAAGAGUAAGCUACUUAGUAAAGUUUGAGAUAAGAUAGGAUUUGCUAUUAUAAAAAAAAAAUAAGAAUAAUGUUUGUAAUAAAUAGAUUACUUUGUUUAAUAAAUCAAGUUUGUUAAUUAAGUA